UACGGGGGGAGCAAGCGUUGUUCGGAUUUACUGGGCGUAAAGGGCGCGUAGGCGGCCACCGCAAGUCGGUUGUGAAAUCUCUGGGCUUAACCCAGAAAGGUCAACCGAUACUGCGGGGCUAGAGUGCAGAAGGGGCAACUGGAAUUCUCGGUGUAGCGGUGAAAUGCGUAGAUAUCUGGAAGAACACCAAUGGCGAAGGCAGCAUUCUGGGAAGUACCUGACGCUCAGGUGCGAAAGCCAGGGGAGCGAACGGG
rnacentral:rRNA from 1 species